UUUAUUCUCAAAAAAUAAAAAGAAUUCAUUUUAAAGGCAUCAAAAUGAAAAAUCAAAUUAUUUUAGAUUAUUUUCGGGACAGCCUUAAAGGUUUGAAAGAAAAUUUUGAUUUUCAAUUUGUCUCAAGCAGCCAGAAAAAGAACCAGAGGGUGACAAAGGAGAAGAAGAAGAAAAGAACAAAGGCAAGACGCCAGAAGAAGACAAGGUUGAUAAGAUCUACCCUAGAGACUUGAAUAUUAUAGGGGGCAAUGACCCAAGACAGUGGAAACCACUAGAUAAAAGGUCAACAGAUCCUGCAGGGCUAAUUAAGGUGAGUUGGCUUCAGGUAAACGGCAGCAAAAGAGUAAAAAUUGGAAAGUCAUAUGAAAUAAAGUUCAACAUUUCUUUCACGGAAAAUUCCUUUGGGUGGAAGGGAAUCCCACUUUUUCUGAUGGCUAAGAUUGGGCAAAAGGGAAAUUCCAAAUAUCAUUUGAUUGAGCCACUGGAGCAGGCUACACCUGGUGCUCAAUUUUAUAUUCCUAAGCCUGAACACAAACAGUUCAUCGUUCAAAUUCCACCUGGUAAAAAAGGCGAGUCAGGUGAAGAGGACCUUUGGUUUGGUUUAUAUGAAUGUUGGAAUUCAAAGUGGAAGGGAGGAUUGCGUAUUCAUUAUGCAACUGUUGAAGAAGUAAGCGUGUCGAAUUAAGCUUUGUUUGUGCUCAGCAAAGUUGUCAAAUGAAUGAAGACUAGAAGACAACAGAUAAAUUGGCA